AUGAAAGUAAGCAUCGACGCGUCGGAGCUGAGGUCCAUGGACUAUAGCGGCGCCGUGCCAGAGGAGUCCUUGCUAUCUCUGCACGGCUCACCGGCAAUAUCCUCCUGCACCGUCAAAUUUUGCAAGGUGACACCCACGAAGUCGGAGUUCACCCGGUUCAGAAGGUUCCUCAAAAAGGUGUCGCCCUCAAAGCAUCUGCCUCUGCACCAUAGAGGCUUGGACACUCGAUUCUUCGCGGUGUUCCCCUCGUUUCCUACCCUGACGCGGCUCGAGCUACAUGGCCCCAUCCGGAACAGCGACGCGGUCGAUGCGGUCCGGAGGAUACUGGAGCAGACGCCCAACCUCGAGGUCCUGUCGCUCGACAUGGAUGACCGGGAGCGAAGAGAAAAGGAGGAAGAGGAGGAGGAGGAGGCCAUGUACCCGGAGCGGUUCAACAGAAGAGGCGUAGAUGAUGAUCAGGAGCAGUACCAUAAGUCCUCGGAUGAUCCUGUGGAGCUAAAAGUUCCCAACCGGUUGAGUUUUUCCAUUCGGUGCUUGCGGCGUCGUGUGAAGGACAUAAACAUGGAUAGCUACCGGUGUGACGUGCAGCAUAGGGUGCUGGCCAGCCUGCUGUUCCGCAACGCGCUUGUGCUUGAAAGGAUGUGUGUCGGGUUCGUGAAGAAGGGGUCGUCCAAGUUGCAGGCUGAGCUGACGAAGGAGAUCGAGAGCUGGCUAGUGGUCGCCUGA
rnacentral:rRNA from 1 species